rnacentral:lncRNA from 1 species
UCAAGCUUGAUUGCUUCAGCUUUCACCUAUAUAAAAACAAAAAUGAAACUUUUGUUACAAAAAAUAACCAAAACUUGUUAUAAUUUUUUUUUAGAAGUAUCAUAAAAAAUAUUAUACAUUGCCACAAAAGCUUUGUAUCCUAAAGUGUCCUCUCAUCUUUCGCUUCUUUAAAAUUUUAAAGAUCCUUCAACUUUUCUUCAUUCAAUGAACUGACAACUUUUUGUAUUUAAAUAAGUUAUCAAUUUUUGAAUUAACAAGAAAAAAAAAUAAGUAAAACUGACUGUAUUUAAAAGUGAUAAUUAUGAUUAGCCAUGUUUACAUAUAUUUACUUUUUACAUUAAAAAGGUAUUACUUACCAAAAAUAUAUAUUUACUUUCCGUAAACAAUGACUAUAAAACAUUUAGUACAUAUAAGCCGUAAAUAUUAGUGUCAUAAUUAAAUAUUUAUUUUAAAUGCUUGAAAUGUGUUCUACAUAUACAUCUCGAGUCAAUCAAUAAAAGAAUAUAAAAAAAUAAAAUUAUUAAAAAAUAUCAAUUAAAUUUAAAUAAAUAAAUUCGUGGAAAGACUUUAACUUUGACUUAUAUAUAAAGAAAAACAAGAAAAAAAAUAGAUAGUAGAAAGGAAGUAUAUCCCAAUUUUGAAUGGAAAACAUGCUUGUAAGUCGCAAAAUAUCAUUUAUUAGAGAAAGUUAUUUUAAUUGACAAUAGAAACUAAAAUCACCUCUGAAAAGAGCAUUUGAUCAUAUUUUGUAUGUGUGAUACCAAUUGGAGCCUAUAUUCAAAAAAAAAAAAAACCAUCAAAGUAUAUCAAUAACAUAAUGAUGAUAUGCUAAAUCUCAUGAUUUAUUUAUAAUUAAAAUAAUUUCAUAUAAGCAAAAAUUUUAAAGGAACUUUAUAUAAUGAAGAAGGCUAGAAAAACUUAAAGAAUCCAAGAAGAAAACUUUAAUUAAUCAUCAAUCAAAAUCAAAUCAAAACAAAACUAAGAAUAAGAAGAAAAUAUAGAAGUAAAAGAUAUUUUUCUAGUAAAUUUGAUCAAAUAACUACUUAAAUAGAAUUGUAGACAUUCUUUUUCUAUAUAAGCUAAAAUUCUUUUUGAUUUAGAAGUGUUAAAUAUUAUGAAUUCUUACGUGAAUUCGUUGCUUCAAUUGUAGACAUUAAUUGCUUCUUCCAUUUUUUUUAACGGAAGGAAAGUUUCUCUCUCGGCGCAUGUUACCAUAACGUGCGCACUUCAUAGGACGGCGAGCGAAAACUUCGAAUCCAGCAACAAUUGUAGGGGGUAAUAGAAAAGGGAAGCUCACAGCAAAGGUUAGUGAUGUUAAAGAAAGUGGGAAAACCCAAUUGAAGCCGAGUAGAAGUACAACAGUAGCGGAGUGUUAGCGGAGUGUGACGGCCAACAAUGGCUGCCGCUAGGAAGGAUGGAAACGAAUUUGAUAAAGGGGAGAAGCAACGAAGCAUCAACAAGCUCAGAAAAUGCGAGCUCCAGCCCAGGCACCAAGGGUCUUGUAACGGAACAAAACAGAAAGGAACAGGUGGUGAGAAGAAGCAAUCGAAGGCUCAACUUGAAAAGGGAAAUAUGCAGGAAUGGCUAAGUAUCACCUCACCAGCUCAAUCAUAGGCUGAUGAGGUAGAAAAUAAAGUAAGCAAUUCUAGGGCUGGAACUGGAAGAAAAAUAACUGCACCUAGAGCUUCUAUAUGGGAUAAAUUUGAUAUAAAAAAGCUGAAUGACGCGGGGUACAAGCUCGAUUAUGUAAAAUCAAUUAGGACAGGGGAGAUGGAAUUGGUUGAAAUCGAAAAAGACGACACAAGUUUAGAGAUAGAGUACUAGAAAAACACAAUUGUGUGCUAUGUACUGGGUGCCUCUCCCCUGUUCAAUGUUCUGAAUAAAUUUGUUCAGAGAAAGUGGGGAAAACUUGGAAUUAAUAAGGUGGCCAUGAUGAAGAACGGGAUUUUACUGGUAAUAUUUACUUCUGAGGAAGGUAAAGAUGAGGUGCUGCAAGGUGGGAUUUAUCAUUUCGAUAAUAAACCACUAAUAGUGAAGGAAUGGGUGCCUAAAUGGAUUUUUCGAAAGAGGAAUUGUAUUCUAUUCCUAUAUGGGUGAAACUACCAGGCCUGGAGUUCAAAUAUUAGAGUGCAAAGAGCUUGAGAAAGAUAGGCAGUUUAAUAGGGAAGCCGUUAAUGGUAGAUCAGAAUACGGAGCAGAAGAUUGGCCGUAGCUUUGCAAAAUUGUUCAUUGAAGUCUAAAUUGGAAGACCUCUGCCAGAGGUAAUACAAUUCAUAAAUGAGAAAGGGGAAAUUAUAGAACAACAAGUGAGUUACGACUGGAAGCCUAGUCUAUAUGAUGUAUACCAUUAAUAUGGGCAUGUUGCUUCUGAGUGCAGGAAAAAUAAAUCCAAGGAACCAAAUGGGAUUGCUAUAGAUGUGCAGGAGAAUGAAUGAUCUCAGAAUACUAAAGCUCAAAAGGGAAAGCAAAUCACUCUCAACAACAAGGUUGAGCACAGAGUAACCACAGGGAAACCAUAGAUUGAACGGAAGGCACAAAAUAUUCCUGUUUCUAAUAGUUUUCAGCAACUAGGAGAAGACACUAUGUUGUAGGAGACACAAACCACUAAAGCUGGUGAAGGGGGGAAGAUUUCUUCCUUAAGGGGUAAUGGUUAAAAUAUUAUGUUGGAACACUAGAGGCCUAAAUGGCCUCAACAAGCAGAAGGAGGUGAAACUCCUCUGCAGUAAGUUAGGAGCAGGUUUGAUAUGUUUUCUGGAAACUAGAAUAAAGGUUGCUAAGCUAAGUGAUACAACUUAUAGGAUUUUUAGUGGUUGGUUGAACUAUAGUAACCAUGGAGCUCACUAUAAUGGUCUAGUGCGGAUCGUUUGGCGAUAGGAUUGGUACAUAAUUGAAGUAAAAUCUGAAAGUACACAAGCCAUCACAUGUGCAGUCAUGUAUAUCCCGCUUCAACUGAAAUUUGAGGUUACAUUCGUUUAUGCUUUUAACUUGAAAGAAAAUAGAAUUGAGUUGUGGAACUACUUGAGGAGAAUACAACCAAUGUGCACUAAAGCAUGGAUGGUUCUAGGAGAUUUUAAUGUUGUAUUACGCAAAGAGGACAGACUAGAGGGAAAUACAAUAACACUUGCAGAAGUGACUGAAUUUCAAAGUUGUAUUGACGAUUGUCUUCUUGAAGAAAUGCCUGGAAAUAAAGGUAGAUAUAUUUGGAGUGACAGGCAGCAAAACAAUAGGAUUUUCUCAAAAUUGAUUGGGUAUUUGUAAAUGAAGAAUGGAUAGAUAACAUGUCUGAGAUUCAAAGUUACUCACUGCCUGAGGGAGUAAGCGAUCAUUGCCCUAUCUUAAUUAAAAUACAACAAGUGGAGAAGAGGAAAAAACUAUUUUUUUAAUAUUGUAACAUCUGGAGCUCCCACCAAUCAUUCGAAGAAGUAGUCAGAAAAGUAUGAAAGGUUCCUGUCACAGGUUGUAAUAUGUUCAAAGUGGUAUCAAAACUGAAGAAACUAAAAGAAAAAUUAAGUAUGCUCCAUCGGAAUCAAUUUGCAAACUUGGAGGACCAAGUUAAUACUGACAGAGAAGCCCUUAAGCAAAUAGAAAUCCAACUCCAGAAGACACCUCAGGAUAAACAAGUACAACAGGAAGAGCGAAGCCUUAGGCAGAAAUUUCAGAGAUCAUUUUUCUUGAUUGAGUCAGUAUUGAUACAGAGAAGUAAGGCCACAUGGUUGAGGUUGGUAGAUGAUAACACCAGCUACUUCUUUUCAGUGUUAAAGAGAAAGAAAUUACAACAAUCUAUCACAUAACUCAGAGAUUAAUCUGGUAACCUACAACAUGACCAGGUUAGCAUCGCAGAUAUCUUUGUAAAAUUCUAUCAAAACUUGUUAGGUGACUUUGGUAAAGAAAGACUAAAAUCGAGUAAGAGAGUGUAUACUCAGGGACAUACCCUUACAGAAGAACAACGAAUACAACUUUUAGAGCCUGUCACAGAUGAUGAGAUUAAAAAAAUAAUAUGGAGCAUAAACAUCAAUAGAAGCCUGGGACCUGACAGAUAUGGGAGUGGAUUUUUUAGAGCUGCGUGGCAUAUUGUGGAACCUGAAGUAUGUGAUGCUAUUAAAGAUUUCUUUAAGAAUGGCAAAUUGUUGAAACAGCUGAACACUACAGUGAUUUCUAUUAUUCCUAAGAUUGAGAAGUCUGAAUAUGCUAGCCAAUUCAGACUAAUCUAUUGAUGCAAUACAAUAUAUAAGUGUAUUUCUAAACUAUUAUGUAAGAGGCUGAAGAAGGUGCUGACCAGUCUAGUUAAUCCCACUCAAGCUGCUUUUAUUCAAGGGAGAUCACUAAUACAAAAUGUAUUGAUCAGUCAUGACCUAAUGAGACACUAUAACAGAAAAAUGACUCCAAGAUGUUUGAUGAAAAUCGAUCUUAAAAAAGCAUACGACAUGGUACAAUGGGGCUUUGUUGAUGAGAUAUUGCAGGGCUGUCGCUUCUCUCCCAAAUUUGUACAACUGAUCAUGGUGUGCGGGACCACAACCAGGUACAGAAUUAAAGUAAAUGGUGAAAGAUGUGGUUUCUUUGCAGGAAGAAGAAGGCUGAGGCAGGGGAUCCUAUUUCCCCCUUAUUGUUUGUACUAGUCAUGGAGUAUAUGUCCAGAAUCUUCAACAGAAUAUGUGAGCUCCCAGAUUUCAGAUUUCACCCAAUGUGUAAGAAGUAGAAACUAACACACCUAACCUUCGCAGAUGAUCUUAUGAUCUUCUGCAAAGGGCAAGAAGGUUCAGUAAGUAGAAUCAUGGAAGCUUUGAGACAUUUCUCGACUAUUACUGGGUUAAUAGCAAAUAAUGAAAAAUCAAAAGUGUUCUUAGCUAGAGUAACCGUUGAAGUUCAACAAAAAAUUUCUGCAGACUACGGGGUUUCAAAUAGUAAAACUUCCUAUGAGAUAUCUUGGAAUGCCUCUCUCCCAUAAGAAAUGGACCAAGAUCGACUGUCAUCAAUUAAGUAACAAGAUUGUAAAGAAAUUACAAGCCACUUUCAAUAGACAUUUAUCAUAUACUAGCAGGUUGUAAAUUGUAAACUCAAUCUUAUUUGCCUUACAAAACUUUUGGAGUACAACAAUGAUCCUUUCUCAGAGUGUGGUCAAGAUAGUGUAGGCUAAAUGUAGAAAAUUCCUUUGGGGUGGGAAUGAUGAUAAAAGGAAAGCUGCUUUAGUUAAGUGGGACACAAUAUGUUGUUCAAAAAUCCAAGGUGGCCUAAACAUCAAAAGUUGCAAAAUUUGGAAGAUUGCAGUAGUGGGAAAAUUGGUCUGGUGGCUGCACCAAAACAAGGAAGCAUUAUGGGUGCACUGGGUGAGUAGCAUCUAUAUGAAAGAGGGAGAGUUCUUUUGGACCCCCCAGGAAUAUAGUUAGAACUGGAAAUAAUUGAAUAAGAUAAAGCUUGGGAUGCGAAUAUGUAAUGCCUCGAAUGGACGUCAAACAGUACUUACGACCUCAGAGGAUCACAAGCGAACCCACAACUGGUACCUACUGUGAGCACUGAAUAAUAAUACUGAAAUAAUAAGUAAAUGUACUAAUAAUAACAUCUGAAAAACUAAAUAACUGUAUGUGCUAGUUUGAAAGCCUCUAACUGAAUAUUAAGUUGAUGGGACAAAACCCCAAUUAACUUCGAUUGAAAUGACUACUGAGCUGCUGAAAUACUAAAAUAGAUAAACUUUGUCCUCGAAAUAUAAGGACUCACCACUGUAUUUAUUGCUAAUAGCCUGAGCUGCUAAGUACAGUUAGAACCCUGAGUGUCCGAACUUAUGAUAUAAGACAUCAUAACCCGAAGAAGGAUUAUGCGUCAGUACCUGAAUUGUACUGGUUGCUAAGUGAGGUAGGCUGAUAUACAUGAGUUCAUAUGCAUGAGAUAAUAACUGACUGAGUGAACAUUAUGAAGUAGCUGGAUGAGAGUACAUGCAAAACCGUAGCUACUGAGCAAGCUGAAUAUGCAUUACUGUGCAUAUAAUGUCUGUCUGAAUUAGACCGAAACUGAGAUACUAAGUUCUGAUAACUGAAAGUUUAGACUAUUUUGCGAAAAUUUUGACUUUUGAAGAGUCACCACUUAAUUUUGAAAAAGAAUUAAGAAACCUUUGUAAAUAUUUUAAACGAUCCAAAACAGAAAAAUCGUUUAAAAUUUAAAGAUUCUGAGUAAGUGGUUCCUAUUAACAUUUUAGGAAGGUUUUAGGCACCUAUAUGUCUAGUAACUUGCAGUUAUCUGGACUGUUUGAAAAUGUCUUUUGACUAACUUCAAAAAGAUUGAUUUGUUGAAAAGUGAUUGAGUUUUAGAAAAGACUUAUGUAAAAUAGAUUUAGGGAACUUAGUAGGAAUUUUAACUAAGUAUAAACAAAACUAAUAAGCAAAUAAACACAUAAAAAGGGAGAGGGAGGAGAAAGUAAAAGAUUUAGGCCAUUGGGCCUAAAUCAACGAGACCUGUCCUAGUCUAAUUGGACUUUCGACCCAUUUCACCUGUCUUGAUCUAGUUGUCGAGCCUUUGGCUCGAGUUUUGCUCCACCUGUAUUAAAUUUACAACUUCGGCUUCGAGUCCCAAAAUGAAUGAACAAGUAAAAUAAAUAAAUAACGACAACAAUAAAUAAAUAAAAUAAAAAACGAGACUCUCAAGUCUCUUGGCUGCUUCAAAGAUGGGACUUUAACCCAUCCUUCUUCUUUCGAUUCCUUGUAUUCCUUUGACAUGCAAUCGAUGUUUCCUUAGGGCCUUCGAAACAAAUUGACUCAAAAGGAUGGCCUCAAUGGCCCAAAACCAAAANNNNNNNNNNNNNNCAUGUAGGACUCGGAUGCAUCCACAUGCAAAGAAAAAAAAUAUAACAAUUAAUAUAUAUUCAAGUGUGGAUAUCUAACUUAUAAGUAAUAACCCAAAAUAUUAACAUGAAGAAAAGGACCGUAUCUGACACCAAAGAUUAGAAAAUAAUCGACUAACACAGAAUUUUUAAAGCCAAAACAUAUUUAACCCAAAAAAAUUAAGCCGGGCAGUUGAUAUCCAAAAACAAAUAUGUAUACAAAGGAAUCAACACCAAUUAAAAACACACACACUAGCAAAAUAAAACAAAAAGGCAAGAUAGACUUCAAAUCGAUAGGAAACACAGAUUUACAUAUAUAAAAAGAAUUCAAACUGGACAAUUUCGCUCCCCUUUCAAAUAAGACAGAAUAUUAUUUCUUACUUAGACAGCCUUCCUUAAGAGUUUAGGCCCAUGAGCCAAAACUCAAUCAAGAUGAGAAUAUCAUUCUGAUCGACACCCAAUGAAUGGAUUUGAAAAUCUUUCUUUUUGCAAAAAGUCGCAAAUUGACCACACAAUAGCCUAGCAUCAAACUUAGUCGACAUUCUAACAUGCACCCAUCACAUUAUAAAUAGAAUCAAAGUUCACAUUCACAGGAUAAAAUUUAACAAUGCCGAUAAGACAAAUGAAGGGAUAAGUAAGCAAUCAACGAAAGAAGAGGACAUCACACUUCCAGCAUAUUAAGAAUAUGUACAACAAUCAAACUGUGAAGGGAAAUAAAGCAAGAGAGGUGGGGCAUUUUCUAAUAUAAUUAUGCAGGUGCGAAAUAUAUAAUUAAUCUUAUUCGAUAUUUUUCACAUAGUUAACACACAAAGAAUUACAACUUACAAUCCUAGGGAAUAUACUACAAACUCCUCCUCACCCUCCCCUUGACACAAUUGAAAUGAACUUUCAAAGGUCAAAGGGAAGAUCCUUGGGGGUUCCAUAAGAUUGUCAACUUUACUACGGACAUACACCCGUUAUCUUCAUCGACUUUAAAGGUUGAGAAAAUCAAGAGGCAGCCCGCAUCGGAUGAAUAUAAUCAAGUAAGAUGCUACCAGUAACCUUAAGAACAAAAUUUAAAGAAAGACAAAUGAACCUAAUCAAGGAAGCACCAUGCUAAAUCAAUAUACCAAGACUAAAACAUGAUCUUCAGCUAAAAAAAAUGACAAGUCAGACCGCAAUGUUCGAAUGUAAACAUGACAUGGUUUUGAUGCUACAAUGGUUUGUGAAGCAGAACUAAAACACUAAUUACAAAAUUUAGACAUUAAACUCGAGAUAAAAAAUAAUAAAUCAAAGCAACUUGUCGAGCAUCGUCACACCAAAUUAAGGCUGGACAGUAUCCCAAAUCACAGGAAACGCUGAAUUAAAAUGGCAAAUAAAAGGCGGAAUUUGAACGAUAUGUAUGCCGAUUCAUGCUAUAAAUUCACACAUAACCAACAAGCUAUAAAUUUACAGAUAACCAACAACAUCAGUUAAGAGACAGUAUAUUCGGUGUAACACCAACGAAAUAGCAUAACAACAAUCACAAACACAUCCGAAGGCCAUCAUAGCCAACUACAACAGACAAAUCCCAACCUCAUUCACGAUUAUACUAAACAGUUAACUAAUUCUAUGGAGAAAAGGGAUGAAGAAGAAAACAAUGGUAUUAAAAGGGAUGAGAGUAUGUUUACCUCUUUCAGGGCAGCAAAACAAAAUCUCGAGCUAACAUUGGAUUCCACUACCACCAAAAAUCAGUCCUUCGAGAGCUCCGACCAAAUCGACAGCUUCAAAAAUUUUGUUUUACUCAAAUAAAAGCUUUACUGCUUUUUGCUCAAAAAGGAUUUUUCACCCCUUCAAGACUUGUCCCUUUUUAGCUCACAAGGGGGUUUUAUAUAGAAGGAACUAGGAAUUGAGUUUUUUUUUUUUGGAUUCCACCGAUGUGGGAACAACUAUUUCGAGGGUAGUUUUGGAAAUUCGAAUGGGGGGAAUUCAAAUUUUGAAAAGGAAAUCCAAUUGUGAGUUAGAAUUGUACGAAAUUCGUACAAAUUUGCAAUGGUUUUGUGUUGAGAUGUCCCUCUUAGGGAAGCUUUGACGAAGCUGCGUCGAGCAUGGAUCGAGUUCGAGGGUACGGUUUUUGACUCAGGUCGGGUCGACGCUGACGAAUUUGGGGCGGGUACGGUUUUUGACUCAGGUCGGGUCGACGCUGACGAAUGGUUGUUGGAAGCUGAUUGUGUGUUGUUUUUUGACGUAGUUGUGCGUAUUUUGGUUUCUCG